rnacentral:rRNA from 1 species
UCCUACGGGCGGCAGCAGUUGGGAAUAUUGCGCAAUGGGCGACAGCCUGACGCAGCGACGCCGCGUGAAGGAAGACGGCCUUCGGGUUGUAAACUUCUUUUUUAUGGGACGAUUGUGACGGUACCAUAAGAAUAAGGACCUGCUAACUACGUGCCAGCAGCAGCGGUAAUACGUAGGGUCCGAGCGUUGUCCGGAUUUAUUGGGCGUAAAGAGCAUGUAGGUGGAUUGAUGUGUCGAAUUUUAAAUCUCCAGGCUUAACUUGGAUUUUGGGUUCGAAACUAUCAAUCUCGAGGGUAACAGGGGCAAGUGGAAUUAGCGGAGUAGCAGUGAAAUGCGUUGAGCUCGCUAAGAACACCAAUGGCGAAGGCAGCUUGCUAGGUUACCUCUGACACUGAGAUGCGAAAGCGUGGGUAGCGAACGGGAUUAGAUACCCGUGUAGUCC